GCUUGCACCGAGAUUCAACAUGGAACGAGUGGCGGACGGGUGAGUAACACGUGGGUAACCUGCCCUUAAGUGGGGGAUAACAUUUGGAAACAGAUGCUAAUACCGCAUAGAUCCAAGAACCGCAUGGUUCUUGGCUGAAAGAUGGCGUAAGCUAUCGCUUUUGGAUGGACCCGCGGCGUAUUAGCUAGUUGGUGAGGUAAUGGCUCACCAAGGCGAUGAUACGUAGCCGAACUGAGAGGUUGAUCGGCCACAUUGGGACUGAGACACGGCCCAAACUCCUACGGGAGGCAGCAGUAGGGAAUCUUCCACAAUGGACGCAAGUCUGAUGGAGCAACGCCGCGUGAGUGAAGAAGGCUUUCGGGUCGUAAAACUCUGUUGUUGGAGAAGAAUGGUCGGCAGAGUAACUGUUGUCGGCGUGACGGUAUCCAACCAGAAAGCCACGGCUAACUACGUGCCAGCAGCCGCGGUAAUACGUAGGUGGCAAGCGUUAUCCGGAUUUAUUGGGCGUAAAGCGAGCGCAGGCGGUUUUUUAAGUCUGAUGUGAAAGCCCUCGGCUUAACCGAGGAAGCGCAUCGGAAACUGGGAAACUUGAGUGCAGAAGAGGACAGUGGAACUCCAUGUGUAGCGGUGAAAUGCGUAGAUAUAUGGAAGAACACCAGUGGCGAAGGCGGCUGUCUGGUCUGUAACUGACGCUGAGGCUCGAAAGCAUGGGUAGCGAACAGGAUUAGAUACCCUGGU
rnacentral:rRNA from 1 species